AAUUUGCCACGAGCUGGUCAACUUGAUCUAAAGGGUGCGCAGGCUGGAUGCUCCGUCAAUCAGAUUCCGGGACACAUCGGUUGUGGACAGAGCACGAGUCGCUGUGCACCCUAUUCUUGUGUGAGAGCUGCUGCCGGUUGCAUGGAUCAAGCAAACGAAACGACAGCGGGGACCUCGGCACCUGAAACGCCGAUAAAGCGCCAGAAAGUACCGCAGGCGGAAGACAAGUCAGAGCUACAACUUGCACAGCAAAAGGGCAGCAAAGGCGAGAAACGCGGACGGUCAGCAGAGCGGCUCAUUCCACAUUCACCGCAAAAGGCGACGCCAUCGGUUCCAGUGAAGCCAUCGGAGGACCACUGUAACGGUUUCGUUAAUGACUCACUGCUCGAUCAGCCUUCGCCGCAAUGCUGCGGGUCACCGUCAGAGCAGGGACAGAGACGAAAGCGUCCGAGGCGAAACUCAUCGCCAGCGCAGUUAGCGCACUCGAUCGCCAGAACUGGAACACCAGGAGGGAAUCGAGAGGACGAAUCUGUCAUUCGAGAGCCAGCCGAAUCGUCACAUUUCCCAUCGCCGAAACCGACACUAGCCCCGAUACUUCCUGACCUUAUUUUGUUAUCACGAGUCCUUUAUCUCCCCAAUUUCCCGAGGUCCGACAAUCGUACGGAAGCGGAAGCUUUUGUUCAGGACAUUUGGCCGUGCUGAUGCGGCACCACUGUGACGGGACAACGAGCAUCCGAGCCGCGGGCGCUUCUAGAGACGUUGUUUGGCAAUUUAUGUGCAUUCUGCACGUUAGCUUCCCUGAUAUUUUGUAGUACUACUUCACCUGUAAUAAUAAAGAAACGAGAUAUCCGAAUUUA
rnacentral:lncRNA from 1 species